rnacentral:rRNA from 1 species
CCUACGGGAGGUAGCAGUGAGGAAUAUUGGACAAUGGGCGCAAGCCUGAUCCAGCCAUGCCGCGUGCAGGAUGACGGUCCUAUGGAUUGUAAACUGCUUUUGUACAGGAAGAAACAGUUCUACGUGUAGAACCUUGACGGUACUGUAAGAAUAAGGAUCGGCUAACUCCGUGCCAGCAGCCGCGGUAAUGCGGAGGAUCCAAGCGUUAUCCGGAAUCAUUGGGUUUAAAGGGUCCGUAGGCGGUUUAGUAAGUCAGUGGUGAAAGCCCAUCGCUCAACGGUGGAACGGCCAUUGAUACUGCUAAACUUGAAUUAUUAGGAAGUAACUAGAAUAUGUAGUGUAGCGGUGAAAUGCUUAGAGAUUACAUGGAAUACCAAUUGCGAAAGCAGGUUACUACUAAUGGAUUGACGCUGAUGGACGAAAGCGUGGGUAGCGAACAGGAUUAGAUACCCUGGUAGUCCACGCCGUAAACGAUGGAUACUAGCUGUUGGAAGCAAUUUCAGUGGCUAAGCGAAAGUGAUAAGUAUCCCACCUGGGGAGUACGUUCGCAAGAAGUUAGAAGUACAAUUAGUAAGUUAGAGGCGUGAGAGNGCCGACGGACGACGACGAGGGAGGAGG